UUGGCGGCCGAUAACACACUUGGCAUUGAUAAAUGCAUUUGAAUUUGAAAUGGCUUUUUGUGUGUUAUCGGCGCGGUAUUUUCCUAAUUGGCGUGGUAUAUUUUGGUCAUUAAUGGCGUUGCCACUUGUCAGGUAUUUGGGAAUGGGUGAUAGUUGGGAAAGAAGAAGAAGAAGAAAGCUAAGGACAAUCUAUCUACAAUUACUACAAAUAAGGACUACAAAACUACAGAGAUAUAUACAAGCAGGAGGACAACUACAACAAAGCACCGGCCAGCAUGGCAAACGCAAUGCAGAACAUUGCGCCGCAUACCGGCCGGCUCCGUUGUCCCCCUGUGCAGGAUUAGUGUCACCAUCUGGAUCUUUAGUGGCGAUGGCUGGACUUGGGAAUGGCGUGCAUCGUGGGCUCUGAUGGUGUUGUUGGCGAGCGGCUCUGUUCCGGCCGCCCACGUUGCAUCUGUCGCUGGUAGGUGUUGGCUGCUGCAAUCGAGUGGCACUGGUCCGGCCACCCAACUGCAUUGUCGUUGGCAUUGGCA